UGUAAGAAACGACGGCCCAGUGAAAUUGUAAAUACGACUCACUAUAGGGGCGAUUGAAUUUAGCGGCCGAGAAGUCGCCCUUUAGAGUUUGAUCAUGGCUCAGAACGUACGCUGGCGGCACGCCUAACACAUGCAAGUCGAACGAAGUAGCAAUACUUAGUGGCAGACGGGUGAGUAACAUGUAGGGUAUCUUUCCCUUUGGCCUGGAAUAACACGAGGAAACUUGUGCUAAUACCGGAUAAGUCUUUACGGAGAAAGCUUUAUGCACCAUUGGAUGAGCCUGCACUUGAUUAGUUUGUUGGUAGGGUAAUGGCCUACCAAGACUGUGAUCAAUAGCUGAUUUGAGAGGAUGAUCAGCCACAUUGGGACUGAGACACGGCCCAAACUCCUACGGGAGGCAGCAGUGGGGAAUCUUGCACAAUGGAGGAAACUCUGAUGCAGCGAUGCCGCGUGAGUGAAGAAGGCCUUUGGGUUGUAAAGCUCUUUCGUCGGGGAAGAAAAUGACUGUACCCGAAUAAGAAGGUCCGGCUAACUUCGUGCCAGCAGCCGCGGUAAUACGAAGGGACCUAGCGUAGUUCGGAAUUACUGGGCUUAAAGAGUCGUAGGUGGUUGAAAAAGUUUGGGGGG
rnacentral:rRNA from 1 species